AUGUUCUGGGAGUGUCAAGCAUUUAUUUUCAAGGUCGACAGUUCCUCGUCGAACAUUGGACCUUUUACCAAGUAUGGGGUCGCUUCAGGCAAGAGGAAUAAGUUUUCCUUCGCUGCUAUCUUGGUCGCAUGCUCCUUUCAGCAAGAACGUAACAACUUGAUGUUUGAAUGGUUCAAGGCUUAUGCUUUGUGCUUUGUAUCUCUCUGUCCGACAAGGUUUAUGCUUAUCCCAAUUUUCAGAACAUGUUCUGGGAGUGUCAAGCAUUUAUUUUCAAGGUCGACAGUUCCUCGUCGAACGGUGGACCUUUUACCAAGUAUGGGGUCGCUUCAGGCAAGAGGAAUAAGUUUUCCUUCGCUGCUAUCUUGGUCGCAUGCUCCUUUCAGCAAGAAUGUAACAACUUGA
rnacentral:rRNA from 1 species